UUCAAUACCAUAGCACCCCUGUCACCCCUCUGAUGGUAAAAGCCCAUAACUAAACUAUCAUAAGAAAAGAAGAGUGAAAUGGAUUGAGCCCAAUAAUCCAAAGUGGAUGAAGCCCAACACUGGUUCUCAAGCCUCAACCCUAACCCUAAGGCAGCAGCCUCGUUUUUUUUCUUUUUUUCCUCUAUAUAUACAUUGUUCUGCGGUUUCCCUUCUCUUAAUAUAUCUUUCAUUGCCCGCUUCACAGCCCAACCCUAAAUCGUGUACCCAUCCUAAUCCCUACGUUUGUAAAUUGUUUACUCACUGAAGAGCUGUUAGAUUUGGGGUAUGAUGAUCAAAGGAAUUAUACAGUUAUCCCUGUCUGAUUUAUUCAGUGCUGAAGGUUUUGAAAAUUAUGCCACUUCAAUUUUUGAUGCGGGAUCUGUACAUGUACAAGUUUGUCAAGUAGAGUAAUGUUUAAUUGUUACAUUUUCUUGUACUUUUUCUGGAAUUACAUUUCAGCAUACAGUUUUUUUUUAAAAUUUAA